GCAUCGCUCAUGAUCUCGUCACUGUUCUGCAAGUGAGCGGCAAAGCUCAAAUUUGAAAGCUAGCACCUUCGGUGUUCGCGUUGUAAUUUGAAGAUAGUUUCCUUGAGUAGUCCUUUAUCUAUGUUCCUUGGAACAGGACGUCAUAGAGGGUGAGAACCCCGUAUGAUUUUGGAUACUACUCUUUGUGGGAUUCUAUCGAAGAGUCGAGU
rnacentral:rRNA from 1 species